rnacentral:rRNA from 1 species
AGCGAACGCUGGCGGCAGGCUUAACACAUGCAAGUCGAACGCCCCGCAAGGGGAGUGGCAGACGGGUGAGUAACGCGUGGGAAUCUACCCAGAUCUACGGAACAACAGAGGGAAACUUCUGCUAAUACCGUAUACGCCCUACGGGGGAAAGAUUUAUCGGAUUUGGAUGAGCCCGCGUAAGAUUAGCUAGUUGGUGAGGUAAUGGCUCACCAAGGCGACGAUCUUUAGCUGGUCUGAGAGGAUGAUCAGCCACACUGGGACUGAGACACGGCCCAGACUCCUACGGGAGGCAGCAGUGGGGAAUAUUGGACAAUGGGCGAAAGCCUGAUCCAGCCAUGCCGCGUGAGUGAUGAAGGCCUUAGGGUUGUAAAGCUCUUUCAGUAGGGAAGAUAAUGACGGUACCUACAGAAGAAGCCCCGGCUAACUUCGUGCCAGCCGCCGCAGUAAUAC